rnacentral:rRNA from 1 species
UACGUAGGGGGCAAGCGUUAUCCGGAAUUACUGGGUGUAAAGGGUACGUAGGCGGUUUAUUAGGUCAGAUGUGAAAGCCCGAGGCUCAACCUCGGGAUUGCAUUUGAAACUGGUAAACUAGAGUACAGGAGAGGUAAGUGGAAUUCCUAGUGUAGCGGUGAAAUGCGUAGAUAUUAGGAGGAACACCAGUGGCGAAGGCGGCUUACUGGACUGUAACUGACGCUGAGGUACGAAAGCGUGGGGAGCGAACAGG